UCUUUCAUUUUUCAUGGGUGUCAAGAACAAACGAUCGACAUGUUCCUGUCGUGCACGGACUGUCUGUCAAAGGCGAUGCUCGGUUUUCGUGGGUCCUUAUCGUGUGAAGCACUGGAGUCAGCAUGGUGGCCGUCUAUAUGAAUAAUGCCACCAAGCUAACCUGUUCUACGCCAACUUAGGUCACGGGAAAGUCCGUAGUUUGCUGGGCACAGCAUGGGCAGCUGUGCUAAGCGAAGAGGGUUCGAAACGACCCUUCGGACCAACCUGGGUCACUGUUUAUGUCAUGUGGACCUGCGUCUUGCUGCCUGACGUGCGGAACGGGUGGCGAGCUCGGCCUUCUAGCACGAUGGUGCCUGGGAGCCUCCACUGCGGAUCUGGUGGCCAGCUGAUCUUGCGACCUGGUAUCUCAACGUCAAUCCAGCUGCUCUACCUUCAUGAUGUUGCUGCGUUGCUUCUGUUGCUGCGCGCCCCGUAGACCUGGUGGCAAGCUGUUCUUGUGACCUCCUCGGCUGCUGAAAAGAUACAGCAUGCGCUAAGGAAUCACAGAGGAACGUGCUCAUCGUAAGUGGCGAUGAUGGCGAGGACCUCCCCACCACGGACUUGGAACUGCAAUCCCUCGAUCGGGAGCAACCUGCUGCCGGACCGCCGAACAGCCGCUGAGCCAGGCUGGAGAAGUUCACGUC
rnacentral:lncRNA from 1 species